rnacentral:rRNA from 1 species
CCAGCAACUUGGAGGAAUGUAUAGCUACGGCUAAUUGUGUUUAACUACACGAUAUCGGCUCUGUCGAAUAAAAUUCUGGAUAAAUUAUGAUGAUGACAUUUUUUAUCCAUGUGUCUUGACCAAAUUGUGUGCCAGCAGUCGCGGUAAUACAUAGAAGACUAGUGUUAUUCAUCUUUAAUAGGUUUAAAGGGUACCUAGACGGUAAAUCAAGCCCUAGACGGGACUAAUUUGCUAGAGUUACUUAUGAGGGGGCUUUAAAGUACUAAUGGUGUAGAGAUAAAAUUUUGUAAUACCAUUUUUCGUAAAGAAAAGUUAUGGCACUGGUAAAGGUGAAAGCAUCCCCCUAUGUGAUAACUGACGUUGAAGGACGAAGGCUUUGGAUCGCGAAUAGGAUUAGAUACCCUAGUAGUCAAAGCAGAAAAUUAUGAGUGUCAUAGAUUAGAUAAUACUGUUUAUUCUAUAAAUGAAAGUGUAAGCACUCCACCUCAAGAGUAAUUUGGCAACAUUGGAACUGAAAUCAUUAGACCGUUUCUGAAACCAGUAGUGAAGUAUGUUGUUUAAUUCGAUGAUCCGCGAAAAACCUUACCACAAUUUGAAUAUGUAUACUUUUGAUAUAUUUACAAGCGUUGCACGGCUGUCUUCAGUUAAUGUCGUGAGACUUUGGUUAGAUCCAUUAAAUUAACGUAAGCCCUUACUUUAUUUUCAUAUAAAGUAGUUCUCCACCAUAUUGGACAAGAUAACAGGGACUAAGACAAGUC